UUUCAAUUUCCAACUAUAAACAAAUUGGUGCAUUAGACAUCGACGGUGGCAAAGCGGUGGUGAAGACAAGUGGCGUUGAGUUUGAGUUAUUAGAGUCCUUGCAACUUACAAAUAUUUCAGAGGUGAAGCUCCAAACAGGGGAAUUCACCAAAGGAUUAAGGAAGGUUGCAAAUUUGACGAUUGGCGGAUGUGAGGAGUUGACAUUUUCACUGAAGAAUGAGGAUAGAGUAUUGCAACACUUGAUUUCUCUUGAUCGUUUGGUUAUUGAAGGCAACUCUUCCCUCCUUGAAAAGAUGGGAAAAGAAGCAGAGGAGUUGCUGCAAUUGCAAAUAUUGACUU
rnacentral:lncRNA from 1 species